rnacentral:rRNA from 1 species
GACGAACGCUGGCGGCGUGCUUAACACAUGCAAGUCGAACGGAAAGGCCCUGCUUUUGUGGGGUGCUCGAGUGGCGAACGGGUGAGUAACACGUGAGUAACCUGCCCUUGACUUUGGGAUAACUUCAGGAAACUGGGGCUAAUACCGGGUAGGAGCUCCUGCUGCAUGGGGGGGGUUGGAAAGUUUCGGCGGUUGGGGAUGGACUCGCGGCUUAUCAGCUUGUUGGGGGGGUAGUGGCUUACCAGGGCUUUGACGGGUAGCCGGCCUGAGAGGGUGACCGGCCACAUUGGGACUGAGAUACGGACCAGACUCCUACGGGAGGCAGCAGUGGGGAAUAUUGCACAAUGGGCGGAAGCCUGAUGCAGCAACGCCGCGUGCGGGAUGACGGCCUUCUGGUUGUAAACCGCUUUCGCCUGUGACGAAGCGUGAGUGACGGUAAUGGGUCAAGAAGCACCGGCUAACUACGUG